rnacentral:rRNA from 1 species
CCUACGGGCGGCAGCAGUGAGGAAUAUUGGUCAAUGGACGAGAGUCUGAACCAGCCAAGUAGCGUGAAGGAUGACUGCCCUAUGGGUUGUACACUUCUUUUAUAUGGGAAUAAAACAGGGUAUGCAUACCCUCUUGUAUGUACCAUAUGAAUAAGGAUCGGCUAACUCCGUGCCAGCAGCCGCGGUAAUACGGAGGAUCCGAGCGUUAUCCGGAUUUAUUGGGUUUAAAGGGAGCGUGGAUGGGUUGUUAUGUCAGUUGGGAAAGUUUGCGGCUCAACCGUAAAAUUGCAAUUGAUACUGGCAGUCUUGAGUACAGUUGAGGUAGGCGGAAUUCGUGGUGUAGCGGUGAAAUGCUUAGAUAUCACGAAGAACUCCGAUUGCGAAGGCAGCAUACCGGCGCCCAACUGACGCUGAAGCACGAAAGCGUGGGUAUCGAACAGGAUUAGAUACCCCUGUAGUC